UCAAUAGUUUUAUAGGAGCAC
rnacentral:piRNA from 1 species